GAAUAAGAUUAAAAUAAAAUACGUAUUAGUUUUGCCCUACGCCCCAUGGCGGGUCGGGGUUUUUUAUACGGGUGGCCGCGAGGGUCAAUCCGAGGCGCGCGUGCGCGGUGGGAUGUCGCGUCGGCCACCUCGGUGACGAAGCGGCUCGCUCCGUGUGCAAAAAGGAAAGAUGGCGGCGUCGACGCUUGUGGGGCCCAGGGAGGCACCUUCGCCGGAGGAGAUUCACUCCCUGCCCUAGAAGGGCGCCUCUUCCGCGGCGCCCAGCGGGGAUUCGAACUUGCAGACCCCGAAGGACCUGUUGCCUUUGCAGGCGCCGAACCCACUGAGCCACCGCCGCCUCUUGGCUCCACCCGCUGAUCUUGGUAUAUUUGACCUCUCUACCCCUAGAGGCUAAAAGCUGAAAUAGGAAUGGGGGGAUUCGAACCAGAGAGUUCAGGUCUUCUACGUCAUUGAAUUUACCCCUAGGCUAAUCGGGAAACCGGAAGUAACCUUCGGGAAUCGACCCUAUGUCUCUCCAGCGAACGGAGCGCUGCUCUAAAGCCAUUACAAGCUGCGCCCCAGCGUCCAGUCCCUGCUCUUUAAUGCGAGGGUUUCUGCCUUAACACGUAGAAAAUCGGCGGUUUGGAGUUAAAACGUACGGAUCUCCAACUCUGGGCCGGAAUAUCUAAAGUUGAAGCUCUUGUGGGCGGAGCCGGAAAAUAAUUUUUUUGAACCUGGGGACUCCGUACUUGGGAAGCAGCCCUUUGCCUGCUACGCUACCGGGCCCGGCGGGAUCGCGCCUUGGAAU
rnacentral:lncRNA from 1 species